rnacentral:rRNA from 1 species
UACGAAGGGGGCUAGCGUUGCUCGGAAUCACUGGGCGUAAAGCGCACGUAGGCGGAUCAUUAAGUCGGGGGUGAAAUCCUGGAGCUCAACUCCAGAACUGCCUUCGAUACUGAAGAUCUCGAGUCCGGGAGAGGUGAGUGGAACUCCGAGUGUAGAGGUGAAAUUCGUAGAUAUUAGGAAGAACACCGGUGGCGAAGGCGGCCCACUGGAUCGGUACUGACGCUGAGGUGCGAAAGCGUGGGGAGCAAACAGG